GAUGAACGCUAGCUGCAGGCUUAACACAUGCAAGUCGAGGGGAAACGACAUCGAAAGCUUGCUUUUGAUGGGCGUCGACCGGCGCACGGGUGAGUAACGCGUAUCCAACCUGCCCAUCACUUGGGAAUAACCUUGCGAAAGUAAGACUAAUACCCAAUGACAUCCCACGAAGACAUCUGAAUGGGAUUAAAGAUUUAUCGGUGAUGGAUGGGGAUGCGUCUGAUUAGCUUGUUGGCGGGGUAACGGCCCACCAAGGCAACGAUCAGUAGGGGUUCUGAGAGGAAGGUCCCCCACAUUGGAACUGAGACACGGUCCAAACUCCUACGGGAGGCAGCAGUGAGGAAUAUUGGUCAAUGGGCGAGAGCCUGAACCAGCCAAGUAGCGUGCAGGAUGACGGCCCUAUGGGUUGUAAACUGCUUUUAUAAGGGAAUAAAGUGAGCCUCGUGAGACUUUUUGCAUGUACCUUAUGAAUAAGGACCGGCUAAUUCCGUG
rnacentral:rRNA from 1 species